rnacentral:lncRNA from 1 species
CCGCGGGAUGCUCGGGUCCCGGCUCGCCGCCUUUCGCCGAGGCUGGCAGUCCGCGCCGCGGGGCUGAGGCCGAGGUGUCCCGGCCCAGACGUGGCAGGCGCAGCUCGGCUCCGCAAGGGCACGGCCGUGGGGAUUUACACUCGGCGGGACUGACCGCCGAGCCCCUCGCUCGCACGGGCCUCUACAAAUCCGUAAUGAGGCCCUGGUACGCCGCUCCCAGCGUCUGCCGUGGGCUAUUUUAGGCUAUGCUGCCCUAAAUCCAUAGGCCUGUAACGCAGAAAUGACUCACGGAUUUUAAAGAGGAACGCUACCAGAAAGGCGAGUUUGAUGGUUAUCGAGUCACCAUGUCUCGUGUGUUGUGUCUCCUCCAGGUUCUCCAAGCUGCACCCGAACUUCUCCCUGCGGAUGGCCUCUCGUGGGUGCACAGUAAACAGGGCCAGCAUUUCCUCUGUCCUCAGAAGACCUCAAGAAAGGGUUCUAAGUGCUUAUUCAGGCAACAUCGGCAGAGGCAGAGGAUUGUUGCUGCAGCUGGUAGGCAGCAGUGGGUCUGUCAGCAGGGGCUGCAGGGCAGGCAGGUCUCCCACCCAUCUCUCAGGCCAGCUCUCCUCAGUAGAGCACUUUCAGCUCCAUUUUAAAACCUUACAAUGUUGAAAUACUCGCUUGGGUGAGCAGGGUUUGUUUUGUUGUUUUGUUUUUUUUUUCUGCAAACACUAAGCAUGGUGCUACUGACCUUGAAAUAUACUAUGGCACCUUGAAAUAUACGGCAGCUGUUUGUCGGCCCCUUUGACCCUGCAGGAACACACGGUGAUCCCAGGGAGAGGACCACUUACGGAAACUCAGAAUACGCUGAGUUCGAAGGGAUCCACAAGGAUCAUCAAAGUCCGGCCCCUGGCCCUGCACAGGGCAUCCUCGAGGGUCACACCAUGUUCCUGAGAGCAUUGUCCAAAUGCGUCUUGAACUCUGCCAGGCUUGGUGCUGUGACCCUGACCACUUCCCUGGGGAGCCUUUUUCAGUGCCGAGCACCCUCUGGGUGAAUGAGCUCUGCAGGAACACAGCGGUAGGUCCAUUUGGACGCUCCAGCAGCCCCGGCCGGGCUGCCCACAGCGGGUUUUGCCGCGCUGCCCACACGCGAGUUUUGC